CCCCAUACUUUACUUAUAUAGAUCGAUAGAUAGGUACAUAUUCAGAGAGAGAGAGAAGGUGCGUGUGUGUGUGUGUGUGUGAGAGAGAGAGAGAGAGAGAGCUUACAUGGGAUAGCUGUAGGUCAAACACGGCUUAUUCAUAAUCUCACCGAACCCUCAUCGUGACUCUAGACUGGCGCACCCUCCCAAGCCAAACCUUUGACUUUCCAGUCAGAGAGAAAACAACGAACCGUCGGGAAGGUCGUGUUUCCGCCACCCGACCGAUCAGAACGGAGAAUCCAUGGGCUCGUAUGUGGUGGGAGACAAAGGCAAGGUUCAGCGUUCUCGCAUCGAUUCUUAUCUAUCUCUUCCCUUCUAAGGGUAGGAAUGCGUAGCUGCGCGCACUGUUGGCAUACAGGGAGAAGGGGAGAGAGAGCGAGCGAGAGAGAGAGAGAGAGAGAGAGGAAGAUGAGAUCGAAUGUGGG
rnacentral:lncRNA from 1 species